UCAAACAUCCACCCAAAGAAAACCCGCCCGCUCCAAGUCGGGUUAUUCCUGAUUGGGUAGGGGGCGACUCGGAUACCUCUGUGGAUUUGGAUACUACUGCCAAGUCUGCUCUCUAAUCAUGUCAUCUCCUUCACCAUCUCCAUCGCCACAUUAUCUCUUUUCCCUCCUCACUCGGACCAUUUCUUUCCUCACCUUUACUCUACCGCAUACACCAUCGUCAUAUUACCUUCAUCUUGGAUUUUUGCUUCUUUUCCGUCUCCUAUAAUUGCUCAUCAACAUCACCUUGAAAAUGUAAGAAACGGACGAGAAGUGAGUUGAAUCGUUCUUUAACUCUUUUUUCUUUGAAAUAAGAAUUUAAAAGUUUUUCAAGUAUUUUUUGGACUUAUGUAUAGCAGAUAUAUAUUAAUGUGUUCAAAUAACACGUUUGCUUUUGAACUUGAAUAAUUAAACGAGCAAUAAAUGUAAGAUGCAAGGCUCAACAGAAGUAUGUAGAUGAUAUGUGUUAGUUCAACCUAAAAUACCUACGUUUAGUCUUUAAGUAGUUUGAGAGUUUUACUAACAUAAAGAGUAUACAAAAUAUAUCCUUUGAACAAAGUCUUUUUAGAAUAUGGCUUUGACUCAGAUUGAACCACUUUCUAAAUCUAAGCACUUUCAAUAUUCUGUUAACCAUCUCAAACAAGAUUUAGAUUGGAUGCCCCAACAAUCUAGGACUUUAGAUAUUUUUAUCUCAAACAUUUUUAAACUAAGAAGUAAUUCAGAAUUAAUACCCCACAAAUUUAAGAACCUUAAAUAUUCUCUCUAUUAUCUUAUGUAAGACUUAGAUUAGACCGUAGUCUAAUCUAGGAAUUUUAGAUAUUCUUUUCUUAAAUCUUUUUAAGACUAAAGAUUACUAUUAGAUCAGGUUAUGAUAAAGAAAUUGUUGAGUUCAAAAACUUCGAAUGAUAACCAAGGAGAUAAAGAAUUCAUGAACUUUGCAACUUACUUGCGAAUCCUUUUUCCAAGUAUUUUUGAGACUGCUCGAAGAUGUUACAGAUAAACAUAGACUAGUCUCAGAUUUAUAAAAGUAUAAUCUGAU
rnacentral:lncRNA from 1 species